CCUACGGGAGGCAGCAGUGGGGAAUAUUGGUCAAUGGGGGAAACCCUGAUGGUGCGACGCCGCGUGGGGGAAUGAAGAUCUUCGGAUUGUAAGCCCCUGUAAUGUGGGAGCAAAUUAAAAAGAUAGUACCACAAGAGGAAGAGAAGGCUAACUCUGUGCCAGCAGCCGCGGUAAUACAGAGGUCGCAAGCGUUGUUCGGAAUCACUGGGCGUAAAGCGUGCGUAGGCGGUUUCGUAAGUCGUGUGUGAAAGGCGCGGGCUCAACCCGCGGACGGCACAUGAUACUGCGAGACUAGAGUAAUGGAGGGGGAACCGGAAUUCUCGGUGUAGCAGUGAAAUGCGUAGAUAUCGAGAGGAACACUCGUGGCGAAGGCGGGUUCCUGGACAGUAACUGACGCUGAGGCACGAAGGCCAGGGGAGCGAAAGGGAUUAGAUACCCCGGUAGUC
rnacentral:rRNA from 1 species